UCUUUCUCUUCUUUCCUUUCUCUUUCUCGGUUGUUUUCCUCUCUAACUCUCUCUCACACACUCUGUACUAUAGAUUACUUAAUUGCUUAGCGAUGGCAAAUGGAGAAUGAUUUGGGCGUCGUUAAGACUUAAAGCACAGAGAUUAAGCCGGAUCUAGGAUGGGUUUCCAUACCAGAUUUUGUCGACAUCAAGGAAUUGGGAUUUUCUGUGCAGAUGUUGCACGAGUCUUUUGCUGAAUCAUUUGGGGGAAAAUGGCUUGGGGCUAAGGAAGAUGUUGCUUGUAGGAUUAAGGAGUCUUUCUGCUACUUAACCUUUCUCACUCCCGGUAUAGAAGGUGAUGAACAGAGUAGGCUUUCAGAUGAAUCAAUUAAGCGGGGAAUUAGUGAAUAAAUUGACUGGACUUGCAGCAAGUAAUUUAUGGAUUGUAUCUAGGGAAAUUAUUUAUUUUUCAUUACAGCCUGUCACGGAGACCUGGCUUUCGGGAUGUAUGCAUGGGAUAAGGUUUUUUACUCAUCAUCAAUGCAAAAUCAUUUAAUCCCCAGUCGAUGGAUUUGAUAUGGACAUAUUGCAAUUAGCGGAGAGCGCGGAUAGAAACGGUGAGCUUAUGGUUCCACCUUCAGCUAUAAAUGCGGCUUACAUUUCCUGCGUCUGCAACUCGAGUUAAGGUUAGCAUCAAUCAUGCUUCAUGGUUAUAUGUUCUGUGAUGCUACUCUAGAUGUGUUGAUGAUAAUUUAUCUAUUUUUGUUGGAUACUGAGUGGUUUGAGGCAGUACGCCCUGUCCUAAGAGAGAUGGCUCUUGCUGGUCUUGUUCACCUGGAUGCAAAGCAAGAAGCAAGUUACCCAACAUAUAUUUACUUUGUUGCUCAAAGUUGUAGGAAAGAGUGCUCCUGAAUUAUCUAAAGAAGCUGCUGGUGUUUGCUUAUGGUCAUUGAGUCAAAACACAUAUAUUUACAAAUAAUGAAAUACAUCAUCCCACGGCUUGCAAAUUUCUAUGCUAAUUCCUGGUUCUAUCAGAUAUCUAAGGAAAAACUUCCUGUGCAUAAAAGAUUUAAUGUUUGAACGCAGGGAUUACAUGGAGACUCAAAUGUUGCACACCCACCAUCCGAGCGGUCAUAUGUAGUGUACUUUUGAUUUAUUAAUGCAUGAUGUAACCUUUAGAUAGAAUUACACUGAUAGAAGUAGGUUGUUCAUUAUAUUUUCCUAGUGUAUCAACCUUGUAAUUUAGUGAAUGGUUGCAUAAAUUCACUGGAUAUGAAUAUGAAUAUAUGGAUGUAAUUGUAAUUUCACAAACAAGAAUGAUUAUAAAUUUGCAGUUUCAUAGUUCGAAUUUGA